CACGAAUCUGUUCCAUGGACUUUCAUCUGAUUAUCACAAGAGGUCGCUCUGUCACCAUAUUGACACUCACACCACACAGACUGUCACGCAUCACUCUGGACUACAUCUCCCAUGCUCCACUGCACUGAUUGCGCACUCACCUGCAUCCAAUAACACACUAUAUAACACUCUGAUCCUGCUGUAGUCACUAAGUAUUGUAUGCAUUUAUCUUCCUCCAAGCGAUAGCUACUCUACGGAGCCUGUCUAGUUUUCAGUUCCUAGUCAUUAUCUUGUCUUGUUUGUUUACUCGUGUUUUGAUUCUUGUCUGUUUAUUUUGUAUACCCCUUUCAUCUUACCAUUCGGACUCCGUUUACGCCAUGCUUGGAUUAUCGCCUGUUAUUGGAUUUACCGUUUGCCUCGCCCUCUGGAUUACGGUUACCGUCUUUGACCCACGCCUGUUUCAUGGAUCACUCUUCAGUCUCACCCUUGAUAUAUCUGUUUGCCAUUGUUUGACUUUUGCCGGUAUUGACCAUGUCAUUGAAUAAAGUGCAAGUGGAUCCGCUCGCCUCACGUCUCUGUCACCCCGUUACAGAAUACUCGGCCCCACAAGGAUCCAGCGGCUUUCCUAAAGGACCUUGGCCAAGUAUGGACCCUGUCGACCGGCUACUCUAUUCACGACAGGGGAGUUCACCUAUUGAGGAGUACGUCACUCAGUUCUGUCCAGAGUCUCCUGUGUCUCAGUUUUCUCCAGGUUCCAGUCUCUGCCUUGGUGGUCUUCUGUUCCCUCGCGGAGUUCUAACUCAAUCCCAGGGUCAUCCAUCUCCACAUGGACCUGUCCCUCCAUCCUUCCCCCGGUUCCACCUCCGCUCCACCACCCUCCUGGUUUUUGUAGUGUUUGGAGCGUCUGGAAGAGGGGGGCUCUGUCACGAAUCUGUUCCAUGGUCUUUCAUCUGAUUAUCACAAGAGGUCGCUCUCUCACCAUAUUGACACUCAGACCACACAGACUGUCACACAUCACUCUGGACUACAUCUCCCAUGCUCCACUGCACUGAUUGCGCACUCACCUGCAUCCAAUAACACACUAUAUAACACUCACUCUGAUCCUGCUGUAGUCGCCAAGUAUUGUAUGCAUGUAUCUUUCUCCAAGCGAUAGCUACUCUACGGAGCCUGUCUAGUUUUCAGUUCCUAGUCAUUAUCUUGUCUUGUUUGUUUACUCAUUUUUUGAUUCUUGUCUGUUUAUUUUGUAUACCCCUUUUGUCUUACCAUUCGGACUCUGUUUACGUCAUGCCUGGAUUAUCGCCUAUUAUUGGAUUUACCAUUUGCCUCGCCCUCUGGAUUACGGUUACCAUCGUUUGACCCACGCCUGUUUCAUUGAUCACUCUUCAGUCUCACUCUUGAUAUAUCUGUUUGCCAUUGUUUGACUUUUGCCGGUAUUGACCAUGUCAUUGAAUAAAGCCUUGCAAGUGGAUCCGCUCGCCU
ensembl:lncRNA